rnacentral:rRNA from 1 species
AACGAACGCUGGCGGCGUGCUUAACACAUGCAAGUCGAGCGGGAAAGUUUCCUUCGGGGAGCGAGUACAGCGGCAGGCGGGUGAGUACAACGUAGGUAACCUACCCUCGAGACCGGGAUAACCUGUCGAAAGACGGGCUAAUACCGGAUAAGACCACAAGGGCUGCGGCCUUUGAGGUAAAAGAUGGCCUCUGCUUGCAAGCUAUCACUUGGGGAUGGGCCUGCGCGCCAUUAGCUAGUUGGUGAGGUAACGG